rnacentral:rRNA from 1 species
CCCUUAGAUGACCUGGGCCGCACGCGCGUUACACUGAUGCAUUCAACGAGCUUAUAACCUUGGCCGAGAGGCCUGGGCAAUCUUGUUAACGUGCAUCGUGAUAGGGAUAGAUUAUUGAAAUUAUUAAUCUUGAACGAGGAAUUCCUAGUAAACGCAGAUCAUCAAUCUGCAUUGAUUACGUCCCUGCCCUUUGUACACACCGCCCGUCGCACCUACCGAUUGGAUGGUCCGGUGAAGCCUCGGGAUUGUGGUUCUUGCCGCUUUAUUGUGGCGUGACCGCGAGAACUUGUCUAAACCUUAUCAUCUAGAGGAAGGUGAAGUCGUAACA